AGCCCGUGCAGACGUACUGGGUGGCUUUUAUGGGUCGGGCCUGGAGCUGGCUGCCAGAACUUGGGCUCAUGUUCCAUUGGUCAGAACAGGGUUUCUCACCCUCAGCACUGCUGACAUUUUGGGCUGGAGGGUUCUUUGUUGUGGGGCUGUCCUGAGCGGGUUGUUCCCUGGCCUCUGCCCACUAGUUUCUGACAGCCCUCUCUCCUCUCUUCCAAUUGUGACACCCAAAGACGUCUCCAGGCAUUGCUAGAUGUCGCCUGGGGGCAAAAUCGCCCUGGCUGAGAACCACUGGGCUGGAACCAGUGAGUUGGCCACACCUACCUGCAGGGAGUCUGGGAAAUCUAGUCUCGACCGUGACCAGGGAGAAAAUGAAACUGACUGAGAGCCUGCCGGCCAGUCUCUCACAGUGACCUUUCGCCUGCAAACUCCUCUCCUACCAUGGGGACACAAAAGCCUGUUGCAGAGCUGUUUCCUAUGGGUGAGGAGAGAGAGCAAGAGUUUGAGGGGUGGGAUGGUAGACUUGGGUAGGACAAAGAGAAUCCAGAAACCACCAUUGUGUUCAGCAGCACUGAGUAUUUAUAAAUAUACGAAUAGUUGUGAGAAGGAAGCAGCAAAGGAGGAAAUAACCAUUUUGGAAUACCCUUUACAUUUCACAAACACCUUCAAAGGGGCUCUUCUAGGAACUUCGGGAUCAUCAGUGAACAAAACUGACAAAAAUCCCCGACCACCAGGAUGUUACAUUCUAGCGAGAGACACAAAGAAACAAAAAUUGAGUCUUUGGUCCUGUUCAUUGCUCUGGCUCCACCUCAGCUCGUUCUCCUCUGGAGGCAAAGUUCCCGUAAAUACAGUAUUACCAUGACGUUGCUGUUUUGUAAGAGCUCGGUGCUUCAGCCGCUUGUGGAACCCUGGCCUGACUCUCCCAGCUCUGCUGGCGACUCCUCCGUCCCUCAGGAAGGCCGGCUAUGGCCCCGCGUCUGCCUGGCUGCUUUUGAUGCCCUCCCCCAGGACUCUCUGAGGCAGUGACUCAGCAUGACUCAGCAACCCAACUUUUUAGGGGAGCCGGGGUAUUUUGCCACACAACCGACAUAUGGGAAACAUGCACGCUGUUUAGCAAAAUCAUUGGAAAUGAAACACACCAGGAGGAAGAAAGGCCCAGAUUUCCUCACACCCAAAGUGCAGAGACCAGCUCAAGGAGGCGGAGGACAAGCAGAAAGAGCCGUUUUCUCCCUGGAACCAAAAAUGAAGAGCAGUUGCUCAGAGGGCGGCCUGGGAGGAUGAAGACGCCGUCACCUGGGGGGCUUCUGUGUCGGUGGGGCUGACGGAGAGUCUCCUUCUUGGGUGAGACAUGGAACAGCCAAGAGGAGCCCGCUCCAGGGUUUGAUGUAAUUGCCACCAUGGCUGUGUCAGCCUCAUUUGUUUCUCCGGGAAAGGUACAGGCUAUUCCAAAUUUUUAAAAGUUUAGUGAACCUUUAGCUUCUUUUUAAGUGGCAUGGAAGAAUGGCUGUUUAAAAAGGACAUCGCGGCCACUGACACUUGGCAGUCUCUACAAAUGGGAUUUGAAUGCUGCGAAUCCUGUGGUGAGGGCCAUUCUGGCGCUUCUCCUUGGAAAGCGGUUCGAGCUCCCUGGCUAUUUUCCCUGGGCCGCGUUUCUAGGGUCAUUGUGUUAAGCCUUCAGUUAAAGAACAGCCUCUUUGAAGCAGCUGGUUUGGACUGGCCUCCUCGGCCCGGGAUGGUUUCUCGGUAUUCGGUGUUCACGUGACAAAGAACAUACACUGGAUUCCUCGCCUUUUAGAGUUUGGUGUUUUCUUCAGCUGAAGUAGCUUGUUAUGCUUGAGAAAGAUUUUGCUUUUUAGGUCAUAAAGUGGAGCUUGAAGACUGGAAGAGGGUUUUUUUUGUUUUGUUUUAAUGUCUUGACUCUGCUGAACGUUUGAAGGGCCUGGGAGUAAGGACUGAGAAACAGAGAUUUGUAAGUGGGGAGGUUUUGAGGGGUGUCUCCCGGUCCUAAGGGAGCAGUAUGGAACAUUCUGAGGCGGAUGGGUCAGGGGACCUUCGAGCAGUCCUUCUGUCUCCCGCCAGCCUGUUCUGGUCUCUAUGCAGCACCUAAUACACUCGGAAUGUUCUCCUAUAAUAAUCUCCCGGAGCGCAGGGCCUUGUUCAUCCUUUGCACCCCUGUACCUCAGAACCUUCAGCAGUGCUUGGCACAGAGCACGUGAGGAAGGAAUGAAGAUGCACCCGAAAAGUCGGCUCUAAUGAAAAAUUCUCUCCAUCAAAGUCUAUUCACUGACUCUCAUUCUAAAAUAAGAGACGGUGCCUCCAGCACCCCCCAAAUCAGCGGGAAUGGGGCCAUGAGAAGGUUCGCGGGUGUGUUGUAAACGUUUGGCUGAGCAAGGAAUCUGAAGUAGAAGGAAAGGUUGAAUGUGGCGCUGACGUGGAAGGGCAAGACGUCCAAGCAGAGCACAGCCUGUGUCACCAUUUAUGAAUGGAUUGGAUCCUGUAGAGAUCACGAGCAAACCAGUGCUUGACUGCUUUCUUUCUUUUUUUUUUUUUUAAAGAUUUUAUUUUUUCCUUUUUCUUCCUAAAGCCCCCGGGUACAUAGUUGUAUAUUCUUCGUUGUGGGUCCUUCUAGUUGUGGCCUGUGGGACGCCGCCUCAGCGUGGUUUGAUGAGCAGUGCCAUGUCCGCGCCCAGGAUUCGAACCAAUGAAACACUGGGCCGCCUGCAGCAGAGCACGUGAACUUACCCACUCGGCCACGGGGCCAGCCCCUUGACUGCUUUCUUAAAUAGCGUGACCCUCACAUGGUCUGAGUUUUGUUUUGUUGCUUAAUUUUUAACUGACAGUACUCCUCUGCUGCAUACCAGAAACAGCAUCAUCACUGGAUAGAGGAAAGCCAGCGCAGGACUUCUCAAAGAUGUCGCGAUUUUUCUUAAGUAAUAGUGUUUUCUUUCCUCUGUGCAGCCCUUUGGAAACAGAAGUAAAUGCCAGCUCUGAUUUCUCUUCUGCCUUCCCUGCUGUGGACUGAAUGUUUGUGUCCCCAGAAAAUUCAUACGGGAAACCCUAACCCCAAAGUGAUGGUAUUUGGAGGUGGGGCCUUUGGGAGGUGAUUAGGUUAGAUGAGGUCAUGAGAGUGGGGUCCCCUUGUUGGGAUUAGUGUCCUUAUAAGAAGAGACCAGAGAGCCUUCCUCUCUGCCCCCUAUGUGAGGAAGUAGCCAGCUGGCUGCAAACCAGACAGAGCUUUCACUAGACACUGCUGGUGCCGUGAUCAUGGACUUCCAGCCCCCAGAACUGUGAGAAAUAAAUGUUUGUCAUCUAAGUCACCCAGUCUAUGGUAUGUCGUUAUAGCAGCCCAAACGAAGACCCCCCCACCCUCCCACCCCUGCCACAUACAGACUCCCCGCCUCAGUCCCAGAUCCCUGGUCCCUCUGGGAAGACACUGCAGCCCUGGCCCAGGACCAGAAGUUGGCCCUUCCCCUCUGAUGCCUCUUAGGUCCACCUGCCGACAGCGGGCAGCCAAGAUGCUGCCCCUGC
ensembl:lncRNA